UGCGUAGGUGGUUCUGCAUGUCAGAUGUGAAAGCUCAUCGCUCAACGAUGAAAGUGCAUUUGAAACUGCAGGACUGGAGUACGGGGGAAGAGAGUGGAAUUCUUGGUGUAGCGGUGAAAUGCGUAGAUAUCAAGAAGAACACCGGUGGCGAAGGCGACUCUCUAUCCCGAUACUGACACUGAGGCACGAAAGCUGGGGGAGCAAACA
rnacentral:rRNA from 1 species